UACGAAGGGGGCUAGCGUUGUUCGGAAUGACUGGGCGUAAAGGGCGCGUAGGCGGCCGCUUGCGUCGGAUGUGAAAGCCCGGGGCUCAACCCCGGAACGGCAUCCGAUACGGGGCGGCUCGAGACCGAGAGAGGUGAGUGGAAUACCCAGUGUAGAGGUGAAAUUCGUAGAUAUUGGGUGGAACACCGGUGGCGAAAGCGGCUCACUGGCUCGGUACUGACGCUGAGGUGCGAAAGCGUGGGGAGCAAACAGGG
rnacentral:rRNA from 1 species